GCUGCGCUACUAAAUUUGCUGAAUUUGCUUUUGCAUUGUCUUUGUUCCAGUCAUGAAUCCAGGGUCUGUACAGGGUGUUUUCAACAGCCAUUGCUCCUCACUAGUAUGGUGCUGGCAAAAGAAAUCAAAAACUGAGAGAUUCUCUGCACUUUCUGAGAGCUGCCUGGUGGUGUCCAUCUAAUGUGGAGUUAGGAACUGCUUAGACCGGAGAAGGCAGCAACAAAUAAAAAUGGAUCGCAGAGGGAUCCAGCUUUUCAUUUUUGGUCCACUGUAAGUUAUGGAAUCUGGCUAAUAGGAACAAAUCUGGAUGAACUGGUUUAUGGAACAAUAAAUGCAGCAUUUUUAGCAGAUUUGUGGAAACUGGAUUUGAUGGCUUCUGAACCACCGCGAUUUCUUUUCACUUAGCAAGAACCUGAGGCACUCCACGUGUGAAUGUGAGGUGCAGCGAACCGUUCUGUGGUGAUCGGUGCCAGGACACAAUGGAAGGAAGCGACCCUGAAAACUACCACCUGGAAUGUAAAAAUUCUGAUCUUUGUUAAAGUAAAGGAGCUGCUGUGUGAGAUGAAAAAUGUCAAUAUAUUUGGAGGACAAGCUGGCAGUACUUCUCUCCAGAUGUACCAUUUGGCACAUUAAGCAAUUCUUUUCUUAGAAGGGGAACCUAUGGUUUUGCCAUGUAAUGCAAAACACCAAUGGAAUCACUACAUAAGCAAAAUGCCAGUAAUGGUAUAGUGGUCCAGCCACAAACAUUGCUAGCCACAAAACAUGGCAGACGAUGGGCUGGAGUCCAAGGAGUGAGUUCAUGCCCUGUGCUCCCGUGGCAAUCCUGCUUCUUGCCGCAUUAGACCAGUCCUGGGCGCAUGUGAGGUCCUGAGUUCCCCAGCUUCUUCUGGUAAGGACCUUCAGGCUGGUCGUUGGGAAGCAUUCUCCAGAUGAUCAUUUAGAGACUCAGGGUGCAAACAACCCAGGGCAAAAUAUGGUUGUGAAGGUUUACAACUACCCUUGGAGUUGAAGCGGAGAGAGUCGCCACCGCGUUGCUGUGAGCUCUGCCACGUUGAUAGAGCAUGGGGGGGAAACAGGAGCCGUG